GACGAACGCUGGCGGCGUGCUUAACACAUGCAAGUCGACAGUGGCGAACGGGUGAGUAAUACGUGGGUAACCUGCCUUUCACAGGGGAAUAACACUGGGAAACCAGUGCUAAUACCGCAUAUGAAAGAUGGCCUCGCGCCUGAUUAGCUAGUUGGUGAGGUAACGGCUCACCAAGGCCACGAUGCAUAGCCGACCUGGGAGGGUGAUCGGCCAAACUGGGACUGAGACACGGCCCAGAUCCCUACGGGAGGCAGCAGUAGGGAAUCUUCGGCAAUGGACGAAAGUCUGACCGAGCAACGCCGCGUGAGUGAAGAAGGUUUUCGGAUCGUAAAACUCUGUUGUUAGAGAAGCGGUAUCUAACCAGAAAGCCACGGCUAACUACGUGCCAGCAGCCGCGGUAAUUC
rnacentral:rRNA from 1 species